GACGUAGGGCGCGAGCGUUGUCCGGAUUUAUUGGGCGUAAAGAGCUCGUAGGCGGCUUGUCGCGUCGUCCGUGAAAACCCACAGCUCAACUGUGGGCUUGCGGUCGAUACGGGCAGGCUAGAGUUCGGUAGGGGAGACUGGAAUUCCUGGUGUAGCGGUGAAAUGCGCAGAUAUCAGGAGGAACACCGGUGGCGAAGGCGGGUCUCUGGGCUGACACUGACGCUCAUGCACGAAAGCGUGGGGAGCAAACAGG
rnacentral:rRNA from 1 species